rnacentral:SRP_RNA from 1 species
GCCAGAUGCAGUGGCGCAUGCCUGUAGUCCCAGCUACUUGGGAGGCUGAGGUGGGAGGAUCACUUGAGCGUAGGAGUUCUGGGCUGUAGUGCGCUAUGCCGAUCGGGUGUCCACACUAAGUUCGGCAUGAAGUGGUGACCUUCCGGGAGCAGGGGACCACCAGGCUGCCUAAGGAGGUGUGAACCAGCUCAGGUCAGAAACAGAGCAGGUCAAAACUCCCGUGCUGAUCAGUAGUGGGAUCGUGCCUGUGAAUAACUACUGCACUCCAGCCUGGGCAACAUAGUGAGACCCCGUCUAA